UACAGAGGGUGCAAGCGUUGCUCGGAAUCAUUGGGCGUAAAGGGUAUGUAGGUGGUCUCAUUUGUCUGGGGUGAAAGCCUUGAGCUUAACUCAAGAAGUGCCCCGGAAACGGUGAGACUGGAGUCUUGGAGAGGGUCGUGGAAUUCCCGGUGUAGCGGUGAAAUGCGUAGAGAUCGGGAGGAACACCAGAGGCGAAGGCGGCGACCUGGACAAGCACUGACACUCAACUACGAAAGCGUGGGGAGCAAACAGG
rnacentral:rRNA from 1 species